rnacentral:lncRNA from 1 species
CCCUACCUUUUGCUCUGUCUAUGAAUAAUGAUCAAGGGGGUGCCUCCUCCAGGGGCCAGGGGGUCUGGUUUUAUAGACCCCUCAAGUGAACUUGGGCCGUCGGAUCAAACCGACAUUGAUUGAACGGUUAUUCUUGAUCCUUUAGGUCGGUGGAGCAUAAUCCGCGAGAUUGAGCGUGAUUGGCCACAGGAGGUGGGCGGGCGCCCAGUAGGACAGGGCGGGCGCCCUGUCUCUAGCCCCGAUUCGCCUCCGCUUCGGUCUCGUGGCUUCUGGAGUCUUCUAGAUAUAAGAUAAUUGCGCGGCACGUUAAUAUCUUUACGUAAUCCCGACGUGUGGGCCUUUCUUCCUUAUUUCCUGAUAACCCCCUGUAGAAAUAGACAAACACCAAAACUCGUGGAAUUCUAUCACAUAAAACCCUAAGUCUCGAUGUUGAUUUCAUUUGGAUCCUUUUCUUUGUUUAUUUGAUAGUUAAAUUUGAUACUUAAGGACCGUCAACAAACUCCCCCAAGCUUACCUCUUGCUCGUCCCUAAGCAAGGAUAGACUCAGCUAUGGAUCAUAAGUUGUUGCAAUAUCUUUAAAAAUUGACGGUACACAUGCUUUUAAAUGAGGUCUCAUCUCUGAGUUAGAGUAAACUGUCAAGACUUAAAACUUACUUACUUUACCUUUCACCAUGGGACUUGUAACCGUCACUUCUGUCUUGAGUGGUUAAAAGAUAGAACAGUCCAGUCAAGUGCCAUGUCGCUUAUUCUUGAUCAGCUAUAGCUCUGGAGUUUUUUGCAGAUUUCCAAAUAAAACUCAGAGAUUUCUUUGUAUGACUCUCUCAUAUCUCACUUUUGUGGUAUUUCUGGAUCCUUACCAAGGCAGUGAUGGUAUAUGCCUUCUCUCAAAAUAUGUGGUAUUUGUGGUAUAAGGGAUAGUGACAUUGUCUUCUCUCUCACCCUACUCUAAUAAGGCUUUAAUAUCUGGAGCUCAUAGGUGGGAGAUAAAAUAUACAUACUUACAAGACAUUUAUUGUAUAGUCAAACCAUGGAUCCAAAGAAACAAAUCAAUAAGCCAAAUCAAGAUAUGCAUGUGUGGCGAAUGAAUAGUGUAUGGUGAUGAUGGUGAUAACAAUGGUGAAAGUCUAAUUCUACUUUUGCUCUUUUGAGGGGAUACAUACCUUCCUUGCUUUUGAAACUUUAUGAGGAGAAUGAGAUGCUCUUCUUUUUCUUUUCUCUCAGAUGGGUAUCCUGUACCCGUAAUUCUACUGUCGGACACUUGUCCAUUUUUACCUCUCGUCUCACUCUUUUUCUUUUCUUUCGAGGUUCCGGGCAAUUGCCCCUUUUUAUUUCCUCGUUUAUUAUUUUUUUUUCUUUUCUUUUUUUUUCUUUUUUUUUCAGAGCACUCAUCUCUUGAGAUAAUAUAGCAAGUGGUAGUAGCAAGAUAACUUGAGCAUUUAUUUCACAAGGGAAAAACACAGGUGUUUUUGGCUAUUCUCUCCCGAAUUAGGAGUAGAAUAUUUUUAGGUGAUUCUGGAGAUGGAAAUGGAUGGAUAUAUGUGGAUGGUACUUCCGGAGUAGAAGUAGCAUAUAUAUGAGUGAACGUGCAAGUGAAUCUUGAUUUAACCACAUGACAAGCUCCUAAGGGUCUACACAGCUUGACCACACUCAAUGCUCAUAAGCAGUAAAUAAUAAAUGUGUGGCUCAAAGUCUAGCAAGCAUGUAUAUAUGGCUGUGGUAGGAAUUUAAACUUUCAUCAUACAGGAACUCAUCAUGCAACAUUUUAAAGAUUUUUCAAAGAUAAAAUUCUCCAGAAUUCUAGCAUCUCUAGGAAUAGAUAAACAGCAGCUCAACUUUCCCAUAUCAUAUCCGUUAACAACUUAGAUUUCAGAUCAAGUUUUCAUCCCACAAGUUUAGAUAUAGAGCAAGCUUUAAAUUAUAACAGUUAUGUCUAAACUUGAGAGAGAACUUCAAAUUUGCAAAUUAGGCAGAGCAACUAUUCAUCAUAUCUAUGCUAGAGUUUUAUUAUUAAGAUUCAGAUUAGCAUAGCCACUUUAUUUAUUUAUUAAACACACUAAGCAAAAGAUAUAUAUAUAAGCACAAAAUCUUUAUUUGGUUUUUCAUAGUUUAUGUAUUUUAAUAUUCUAAUAUAAUAUAAGUAUAAAGAUAGGUAGAAAUACUUAGCGAGAUAAAUGGGGGUGCUCUCCCCCAAGCUGAAUUUUGACGUGAUUUCUCUUGAUGUAGCUAGCAGGUGGCAGAGGUGUAUUUGAAAGUCAGCAGCAUUCUGACAGCGAUUAGAAUGUCCUCCGUCUGCUAGUCUUCUUGAUUCUUAAAUUCUAUGGAGCUCAAAUAGACAACAAAGCUUGUGGAACUAAUUAAGUGUUAGCAUAAAUAUCUAGCCUUCAUCACGUUGAGCUUCCUCAAUAAAUAUUACUCCCUGUCUUUAUAUUUUUAUUUUAUAAAGUAGAAAAGAAAUAUUUGUUUUAUUUUUAUGCCACCACAGUGAAGGUACUUAUGGGUUUUAUGCCACUCGUAUGCUCACAUGGGGCUUAGUAUUUUUUAACAUUUUUAUUUUCUUUUCAAGAUAGCAUGAUUAACUAAUAAUCUAUUUAAGGAAAGUAAAUAAUUAAAGGGAAAAGGGAAUGCAGAAUGGAUAAAUAUGGAUAACUACCAAUCUUACCUUUCGGCGAGGCUUCAAUGUUUUAAGUCUUCUUGACAAGACUUCUCACCGUGUUCAUUCUUCAGGUGCGUCAUUUGAUUCAGGUGCUGACCUUGACGUCUGCACCUUUUGAUACGGUGUCACCCAUGCUCUUCGUUUGCCCAGCAGUUCGAAGUGCGGUGUUAGCAGUAUCUUGCUCAGUGUGUUUGUGCUCGUAGUGUACCUGCUCAUAGAGACAAGGCAGAGAUCAAGUGCAUGGGCCCUGUGGGUGGAAAACACCAACAGAACCAAAAGUGUAUUUGUUCUUCUCUAACCUUAAGCAUAGUGAGCAAGACAAAGUUGAUGGAUAAUAAUAUCAUGAGUGUAGCAUUUAAAACAUUUGUCAGAUCAGAUCACUCAACCUUAUGGAAAGAUAAUCUAUCUAAGUAAAUGUUUUUUUUUCUUUACAUUACUAUCAUUUUCCAAAGAUUGAGUGUGCAACAUUUUAGUUCAUAAGACUAGGAGUGUGGGAUCACAAAGGUUGAAGGACUAAACAUAUUGAAUCAAUUGUGUUGGUUAAUCUAGUGAUGCAAAUCAUACAUGUUUGUCUCUUUUAUUCAUGUGAACGCCAGAACCAAGGAGAAGCUUAUAGAAGUGAUAGACAAGUACCUUAAGAUGUUACCUUACUUGAAGAGUGAUGGUACAGUAUGACCUUGUGGAAGUUUUCCUUUCUUAGCAGUUGUGCAUCGUGUUUGUAGCACCCUCCGUGGAUCAUCUCUUGUGAGCUAUGCCUUCCUUGUGUAAAUUGUUAAACUUCAUGUGCCUCUCUCUUUGUCUCCAAUGUGAUUUUAUCUCAGGACUUCCCAGGUCGAUAUUAAAAGUUUUCCUGCAGGGGUUAGUCCAACAAAAUAUCCAAUAUCUACUAUAGCAUACUAUCGGCUCAAAGAUCAACCUUGACACCAUGUCUAAUUUGAUUUAGGAGGGCAUUUUAACCUAAGCACCAAGCUUGAUUUAAAAACCCUUGGAGGUAAGAUCAUCAGCCCUAAACUAAGCACCAUGCUUAAUUAAGAGAUAAAUGAAACUACUCCAAACCUAAACAUAUACUAAAGCAAAUAAAGGUAGCAUGAGAGCAUUUAUAGAGAUCUACUCAAGUGGAGAUGAAGUAGCGUGAUUAGUAUUUAACAAAUUGAGCAUGUCUCAAAGGUAGUG